AUGGGUUUACAUCUCCCCUAGGGCAAUGGCUCAGCACUCACUGAUCCAGUGUUUAUGGCAAGUUUACUACUAACAUGAAUAAUGAGAACGGACUCCACUGGGUUUAGAGGUCUCCAGCCCAAGAGGCUCCUGUUAGGUGGACGGCUGGCAGGGUGACAGUCCUGUGCCCUGAGGACUGGGGCUGUGUGGGACAGGAGGAACUGUGUUGAGUGUCUUAGCUCAGGCUGCACGACAGAUGACCACAGACUGACUGAUUUAAAAAUCAGAAAUGUACCUAAAGUUCUGGAGGCUGGGAAAUCCGAGAUCAAGAUGCUAGUUGGCUUGGUUAAUGAUGAGACUCUUUUUCUGGCUUGCAGACAGCUGUCUUCUCCUUGGAUAUUCAUAUGACAGAGAGAGCGGGAGAGAGAGAGAGAGGGAGGAAGCAAGCUCUCGUGUAUCUUCUUGCUGGCCUGGGAGUCCACUGCAAAGCCUCUGGGCUAGAGUGUGGUCUCAUUGCUGAUCUUCUGCAGCUGUGUUGGCCAGGAUGGAGGAGAGCAGUGGUGGUCCAAAGCCUUGCUUCUUGUCUGAUGUUAGAGUGAACUGUGUCCCCCCCACUCACCCCCUAAUUCAUACAUUGAAGCCCUAACCCCCAAUGUGACUGUAUCUGAAGACUGGGCUUCUAAGGAUAGUUAAGGUAAGUGAGGUCAUAAGGGUGGGCUCUAAUCCACAAAGACUGGGGUCCUCUUAAGAAGAGGAAGAGACACCAGAGCUCUCUCCUUCUCUAUGCACGUGCACAGAGAAAGGCCGUGUAAGGACACAGAGAGAAGGUGGCCGUCUACAAGCCAAGGAGAGAGGCUUCACCAGAAACUCACCCUGCUGAUGCCUUGGUCUUGGACUUCCAGCUUCCAGAAGUGGUAUCCCAAAGACCCCUGGUCUCCCUCCUAGCUGGUUGGAACCAGCCGGCUCUGAAGCGUGCCUGUUGCUUUCCCGAGGGUCCUUGUGAUGUCUGAGCAUCUCCCUGCAUCUACAGGCAGGUACCUAGAGACAGCCACCUAUAGCACAAUUGAUAAUGGUGUUGAUUAAGCAUAUUGGUAUUGCAGUUCCUAUAGAGGGAGGACCAUGCCUGCUGGGGCACCUGCAGCGCUGCUCACGGAUGGUGGGGCUCGGUAGAGGGGGCUCACCCAUGAGGCCCUGAUGUCCUCAAGGGGGAAAGAGGACUUGCAAGGAGAGCUCAGGUCCUGGAUUUUCUGACCUCACUUUUCUGCUCAUGAAACGAGAAGAGAACCAAGGCAUGUGGCCCUCCAAUCCACAAAUUAUGUACCUUUCAAUCGCCUUAUAAAUUCAGUGGGUUAGAAUGUUUUCUGCAUGUAUAUCUCUUUAAAAAGAUUUUUAUAUAAAUAGGGGCUUAAAAUCUAACUUUAGAAGCCUAUUUUUCACUUUUAGUGCUUUUUUGGGGGGGGGCGGUUUAUGCCCUUAAUUAUCAUAUGCAGUUGGCACACAAAUGCAGUCUUAAUUAGGCAAAGCCGAAUAAGCGGUAAUACAAGGCAUUUCAAGGACACCUGGGGGAGAUUCUAGGAUCCCAAACCUUAGACACAGAACAGAUGCUGUCUUUUCACGAAGUGCAAGUCUGACUUGUGAAAGUCCUCUUUUAGCCACACUGGGGAGGGAACGAGACUUGAGGCCGGAGUGGCCAGAGCAGCACCCCCUUCCCCUGUACAGAAAGUGCACAGAUCAUAAACCUACGGCCACAAGUGGACACAUUCUUGUGAACACCCAGGUCAAAUACAGGGACGUUGCCCCAAAAUGGCAUUCCACUAGCAAUCUUAUCUGUCUCUAAAAAUGCCUUUGACUAAAAUUAUAUUUCAUCUGAUACAUAUUUUUUAACUUUCACCUACUACCUUUAUUUAUUUAUUUAUUUAAAUUUUGGCUGCAUUGGGUCUUCAUUGCUUCCCGCGGGCUUUCUCUAGUUGUGGCGAGUGGGGGCUACUCUUCAUUGUGGUGCACGGGCUUCUCAUUGUGGUGGCUUCUCUUUUUGUGGGGCAUGGGCUCUAGGCGCACGGGCUUCAGUAGUUGUGGCAUGCAGGCUCAGUAGUUGUGGCACGUGGGCUCAGUAGUUGUGGCACGCGGGCUCAGUAGUUGUGGCACACGGGCUCAGUAGUUGUGGCACACGGACUCAGUAGUUGUGGCUUGUGGGCUCUAGAGCGCAGACUCAGUAGUUGUUGCGCAUGGGCUUAGUUGCUCUGCGGCAUGUGGAAUCUUCCCAGACCAGGGCUCGAACCCGUGUCCCCUGCACUGGCAGGCACAUUCUUAACCACUGCGCCACCAGGGAAGUGCCUCACCCACUACUUUUAUUUAUUUAUAUUUUUAUUUUCCUCCAGCUGUACCGAGAUACCGUUGACAUACAACACAUGGUUCUCAGUCAGGAGGACAAAGCUUGCCCAGCAUUCUAUGGUUCCAGAAAGGAGGCUGCAUUGAUCUAGGUGAUGAUCCAGGGACACACCAGUAAAACCUUCUGCCUGUCCUUCACCUGCCACCUUAAAAAGGCAUGUGGCCAUGGUGGUACUUAGCCAGUUUGGAUGCCAUGGCUGAAGCCACCCCCAGGACUGAUGGAGCGAUGAGACAGAGGGACCCUACACCCAGACCGGAUGUGACAGAAAAGAAAAGUCUUUCUUGUUUAAACCAGUAUUAAUGUGGCUACAGCUCUGGUAAAGCUAUGAGCCUAUGUCGUAAUGUAAAAUAAUAAGUUUUAGGGUCUCUUGAAAGCUAAAUUUUUUUUUUUUUUUUUUUUGCGGUACGCGGGCCUCUCACUGCUGUGGCCUCUCCUGUUGCGGAGCACAGGCUCCGGACGCGCAGGCUCAGUGACCACGGCUCACCGGCCCAGCCGCUCCGCGGCAUCUGGGAUCAUCCCGGACUGGGGCACGAACCCGCGUCCGCUGCAUCGGUAGGCAGACUCUCAACCACUGCGCCACCAGGGAAGCCCGAAAGCUAACUUUAAUCACACUUAACCAAAUCAAUGCUUACCUAGCCUUGCAUUGUUAAGCAACAGUGUAUAGCCUCCUUUUUUAAAAAAGGAGUUUUCUGCAUUACGGUAGGUUGACGGUCCAGUUUGCUCUUGGGUCUGAAUCUCCCUGUGGUGUGUCAGCCUAUCUGACAAGUGUGGCAGCAUAUGAUUUGGAAAUAUCAGUUGAUGUUUUCCUUUUUGCCCUCUGAUCCUUCACUCAGGUGGGGUUUUUUUUUGUCUCAGGGAAGGGAGGGGACCACAGAGAGAAAAAACUGGAGUCUGGUCUGGGCCAACCCUGGGGGGCGUCAGAAAGGACUCCUCUGUGCAGACCACUGAGUGGGAGCACUGGGAGAGACCCAGACAGAAAACCGGGCCCUGGGGGCCUUGGGCCGGGGAGAGGGGCCUGACUCAGCAGGAUGGGUGGGCCUGAGGCCACCUCAGCAGGGGCAAGCAUGGACAGAUGACACCCCCUGAGCCCCUCUGCAACACCAGGGAACCAUGAACUUCUCCUUGAACUCAGCUGCAACUCAGGAAAGUCCGGGGACCCGGAUUCGAUUGGUGGAAAUUAUGCUGAGCUACAGAGAAAUGAACAGAGUUACACCUGCUUUUAUCAACCGAUAUUUGUAUCUACUACACAUGGCUUUAUGGACAUCAGUUCUGGGCCUGGCGAAAUAAUGAGUAUUGCAGAUGCAAAAACUGUCACAGACACAGAGAUGCAGGAGACAUUGGUCUCUUCUUUCUAUCCUUUUAUUCUCCACUCAAGCCACCAGGGCCUAAGGUGGCCAAGCUUGAAGGUCUCAUGCUACUUGGAUGUCUGAAGAAUGCUGGGCUAUUAUACUAUUAACACGAGUGUAGAAUCUGUGGAACUAAAUUAUGGGGUUCCUUUGCCGGUGGCAAGCUUUCAAAGUACUUUUUUUGCUAGCAGCUACCCACUUUGGAUAGUUUGCUUUGCCCAGAGUAGGGGGUGCACUAAGUAUUUGCUGAGUGAAAAGAAGGAAACUCUGUUUCUUCAUGAUUUCCCAAACGAUUUAGCCUCUGUUUGAGAGGCAGGUGACUUUAUUUGAGUGAAUACUAUGGGCACAAUCAUUAGUUUCUGUUGGAAGUAAACACUCAGCAAAAGAGUGACCUGUGAGGGUAAACAGCCCAGCGCACAUAAAGUCAUGCCCUGUUCAAGAAAGGCUGAGAACUCAGAACUGGAAUAAACAGUCUCAGUGCCUACAUGUGAAUAAUGCUGAUUUUGCACCAAAAAAGAGCUUCCCAUCAAAUUUUAGUGCUUAUCUGAGAACCGCACUAAGAAUUGUAUAUUAAAGGGUGAAAAUAAUUUGCUGAAAUCCUACUUCUUCCCCUUAAAAAGUCACUGAUUAGCAAAAUUGCGAACAAAUAGCUUUUCAAGCAAGUCAGCAGCAAAACAGUCUACAUAAAUUACAUUAGUAGUGAAGAAAAAUUCCCCCAAAUGGGAUGCUUGGCCAUAAUAAUGAGUUAUUUUAGGAGAAAAUGUGAAUGGGAUUUUAUAUAAUCUUGGAAGGGGGGAGGUCUUGCAUGACAUGACACAAAUCAUGACAAAAUUCAGAAGCUGUAAAGGAAAAUAUUGAUACAUUUGACUUCACGCAAUUUGAAAGAUUUUAUGUCAAGGGUACCACAAAUGAAUUUAAAAUAUCAACCAAAAAGUAACCAUCAAAUAAAAUAUGAAUUUUAUAUUAAAAUAUAAAAUUGCUAAAAUACCUAGCAAUUUUCCAUUGCUAAGAAAAAUAUUUGCAACCUAAUGUGGUGGGGGCUGAUAGCCAGUGCCCUCUGAAAUCUGUAUUCUUUCUUCCAUUGCUGUGGAAUACUAGGGAGGCCUCAGUAGGACUCCAGAAUUGUGCCCACAAUCCCUGAUGUUCACACCCUGGCAUAGUCUCCUCCCCUUGAGUGUGGGCAGGACAUGCAACUUGUCUCUAGCCAUAGAAUAUGGCAAAGGUAGCAGGACACACAUGCUUGUGUGCAAGUGAUGAUGUAUGUAAGAUUGCACCACCUAUCUUGCUGGAGUCUCUCUCUCUUUUGUUGGCUUCGAGGAAAUCCCAUAUGACAAAGAAUUGAACAUGGCUCCUAGGAGCUGAAGGAAGCUUCAGACGGGGCUGUUAGCAAGAAACUGAAGCCUUCAGUUCUACAGCUGCCAACAACCAGAAGCAGAUCUUUCCCUAGUCCAGACUCAGAUGAGACUGCAGCCGUAGCCAACACCUUAACCGCAACCUUGCAAAGGACCCAGUUGAGCUGUGCCCAAGCUCCUGACCCACAGGAACUGCAAGCUAAGAAAUGUUUAGUUUUAAGAUACUAAAUUAAUGGCAACAUUAUUAGGCAUAAUAGAUAGCUAAUGCAAACCCAACUAUACUGCAUCUCCCAGGCUCCCUUGCAGUUAGAUGUUGCCAUGUGACUAAGCUCUAAUCUACAAAAUGUGAACAGACGACAUACAAAUGGCCAAUAAGCACACGAAAAGAUGCUCAACAUCACUAAACUUUAGGUCAUUAGGGAAAUGCAAACUGAAAUCACAAUGAGAUUCCACCUUGUACCCGUUAAGAUGGCUACUAUAAAAAAAAUAACCAGUGUUGGCAAGGAUAUGGAGAAACUGGAGCUCUUGUGCACUGUUGGUGGGAAUGUAAAAUUGUAUGGCCUCCCAGGAAAACAGUUUGACAGCUCCUCCAAGAAUUAAACAUAGCAUUACUAUAUGAUCCAGCAAUUCCAUUUCUGAGAUAUACCUGAAAGAAUUCAAGGCAGGGUCUUGAAGAGAUAUUUGUACACUCAUGUUCACAGCAGCAUUAUUUAUUCACAGUAGCUAAAGUGUACAAUCAACCCGUGUAUCCACAGACAGAAGAAUGGAUAAGCAAACUGUGGUCUAUACACACGAUGGAAUGUUAUUCAGCUUUAAAAAGGAAGGAAGGAAGUUCUGACACAUCCCACAACCUUGAUGAACCUUGAUGACAUAAUGCUAAGGGAAAUAAGGCAGUCCCCAAAGAGACAAAUACUGUAUGAUUCCACUUAUAUGAAGCAUCUAAAGUAGUCAGAUUUAUAGAGACAGAAAGCAGAAUGGUGGGUGCCAGGGGAGGAGUGAGAAGUUGUUGUUUAAUGGGGGCAGAGUUUCAGUUUCGCAGGACGAAAAGAGUUCUGGAGAUGGAUGGUGGUGACGUUUGCACAGCAAUGUGAAUGCACUUAAUGCCACUGAACCGUAUACUUAAAAAUGGUUAAUAUGGUAAAUUUUAUACGUAUCAAAAGUUGAAAAAAAGCAAGUUGCAAAAAUAAUAUGUAGCACAACCCCAAUUUAUAAAAACAUAUAUGCUUGUUUGUUGUAUGCAUAAAGAAUUUCUGAAAGAAUACACAAAAAAACCCACAGUAGGGAGGCUGGGAAAUCAGACGAGGGGGAGACCAACGUUUGUAUGUUUUCUGGUGCUGUUUGGAAUUUUAGUUUAUGACGUACAUGUCUUACUUCUAAAAUGUAAAACAAAUUAUUAAUGAGGAGAUUGGAUUUUCUCCUACAUUGAUUCCUUAGAUUACUCUGGGGCCAGCCCUUGAGGAUUAUACUGAUUCCUUAUGUUGGUUUCUGCUGAGAUGUUUGGAGCUGUUGGGUUUUGGUUUCUUCUACAAAACUGUUUUCCAGAGGGUAAUACUUAAUUCUUCAACAGCAAAACAGCCAGAAUAAAUUUUGAAACUUUGUUGGAUUGUAUCUGAAUGAUGUGAAUCAACAAAUAAAGGCCACUGAAAGAGGCUUCAGUGUUUCUAAGACACCAAAUAGAGCCACAAUCGAGACAGCAUUUGGCAAAAAAUGAACACACACAAUUCCUCACAUGUAGACACCAUGUCUUCUACUUUUUUUGUGUCUUCCAUGGCAUUCAGUAAAUUCUAUGUAGUACUAAGUUAAAUGCUUAAUAACUCCAUGGUGGGUGGAAACAAUU